rnacentral:misc_RNA from 1 species
UUUUUUCAUCCAUUUGGUUCAAAAUAUAUGUAAGUUCAGCUUGUGCAUUUCUUACCUUAGCUACUUACUUUAAAAUUCAGCCAAUGCCACUUAUAGGCUCUUUUACACCAGUGUUUCGUUGCAAGAAAACAUAGUAAUGAAUAGCUUGUCGUACAAGAUCAAAUACACAAGUUAGAUCUCAUGUGAACCUUAUUGCAAAUUGAUAGGAACUUAUAUUUCAAUAUUUUUUCCCAAUAUUAUCAGGUAAAGGGCGAAUAAUCUAUUUGACG